UUUCAAAAUCAGACCUUCUCUGCAGUUUGAAGAGGUCCUCCUGGAGUGCCUGCCAUCCUUCUCCCAUGGCUGUGCUGGGCUGGCUCUGGCUGGCAGGCCAAGGGCAAUGCAAUGGUGUUGGGAUGGGAUGCCGCCUGCCUGUACCACGCUUGUGGUUUCUGCACCAGAUCUGGACUCUUGUGGUGAAGAAAGUGCGUGCCUACAGAACAGCAUCCAGGGAAAAACUUGGCGUGCCAACCUAAGCACAUUUACUGCUGAUUUAUCAUCAGGCACAUAAGCGGAAAGCCAGGUUUGCAGAGAUCAGAUAGACACAGCGUUAUUUCCCCUGGCCGAGUUGAAGCUCCAAGCUUUCUGCAAUUCAUUUAUCACUGUGCUCCUUGGGGGCUGCUCUGCAGCGAGCAGGGAUGGUUCUGUAUUCCACUAACUUUACUCACCCGCUGCUGAAUGUGUGCAAAAGUCCUCCAGCUUGACCAGGAUUUGCUCUUCCCCACAUACGAAUCCAUCAAUAACUCAGACAGCAAUCGUUCCUUUUGGACAGAACAUUGAGGGCUCCUCUCUAACAGUGACUGCAGGUGACAGCCCCGUGACAAAUCAGUGCCUGAAUCAGGCUUUGAGUUUUACAAGCUGGUUUCCAACCCAUUCAUUUUCUAAGCAGGAAAAGUUGAUAUUUUUCCCAGAAAAACAGAUGCUAAUCUCAUUUUUCUGCUUCUUGCUAAAACUAUUAUUUUUGCUGCAUCAUCCUCCUCAGAGUGUUAGCAGCUUGGAUGAUUUCAGGGGUUGAAAGGUAAAGAGAAAGACUCAAAAGAAGAGCAUAUCUGUGUGCAUAUCCCAGCAUACCCAUUAGCCAAAUCUUGAUUAGUGCACUGUUCACAAUUGAAAGGACUCACAAACUCAUAUGGCCAAUGUAUUUCCUGACCUGCAUUUCUUCUUAGGGGAACAGCCCUUAGGAUGGCAUUCUUUUGGAAGGCUUUCCAUUAUUUAUGCCAUUGGUUGAAAUAUCCAACUGUAGGAAGAUUUGAAAUCCCCAGCUCCCACCACCAGCACAACCCCAGCUUGAAGCAGAGCAUCUUUCCUAGUGCUGUUCCAGGCCAUAGCAAUCCUGGUGGAUGCCUUCAGGAGCUCAGUAACCUAUUUCAGCUGCAAAACCCAAGGAGACCACCCUGCACCACCUCAUUUCCAGCCACAUCAUGCACUGAUGCAUCAGCAUGGGAAGUAAGAGCAGCAGGGUCAGGGCAGCAUGAGCAGGGGCUUCCCUGCCACCUGAUGUGAGGCUGUCCAGUGCAAGAUCAACAGUGUGCAAACUUAUUUCAGAAGCUGCCUUGUGAACAUGCAAAACAGAAACAGCAGCAGUCUGCUGGGGUCAUUCUUGCAAUGUCUGCAGCUCAGCCUUGAGAAGGCAAAGGGAAAACAGUUCUGCUGAAAGGGCCAGAGAUGUUUCAAGCAGUUCUCCACUUCCCAUCUCAUUUGCAACAUGUGCUGUUUAGGUCAUCUCUAAUGCUGGAGGCUCUUCUUCCCCUCCAGCUGGAGUCUGUUUUUUGUAGGAAUAACAAGAAGAUUCCCAGCCACUGUGAGCCCACAUCAAGGCUCCAAACACAUCUGUUUGAAGGUUCCUGGUCUGGUAGCAAUGAGUCCAAGAUGGAAGGAAAAAUCAUGAUAAGAAAGCCUCUUUUGCAGAAAUAAUAAAUCCCCAUGUAACUGCAAUUCAUUUCACAAACACGUUGGGCUCUAGAGGCAAGUUCAUCUCCAAUUUGUCUGCAGUAAUCAGCAUGCUUCUCGAUAAGGAAGAUACCAGAGCUUGGUCCAGGCUGUUGCCAAAGCUUUCAUUCCCAGGCUUGGCACGGAUGGCCAGCAGCAAGGCAGUGCUACCCGGGCACAGCGCUGCAUCUCUGGGGGCAGCUGGAGGACAUUCUGCCAUUCCCGGGCACAAGGAAGGAACACCUUCCUGCUCCAACACAGCUAUGAACUAAAUCAAUUAAAAGCAUUUUCAGAACAGCCUCCCCAUGAUACCGCCUCCUCACCGGUGAGUCGAGAGGAAGAGCACACAGAGCACGUGGGAAUGGGGCCACUACCGCAGCGUUUGAUUCAUUCUACUGAUGCUUCUUUUGCACAAGAAGUCUCCCAUGAGAAGGAGAACGACAAGCUGGGAUUAUUGCCUCAGUUCCUGGUGGAGCAGUCAGCAGCUCUUCACGCAGCCAUAGGGAAGAAAUCCAACCUUUGUGCCUGCAGCUCAGGGAGAGGCACCACGAGAGCUCCUCACCACUCAUGGUCCCCAACUCGUGCCAUGCUGGGGACAGGCAGCAGCGGUGCCUACUGCGCAUAAAGGGCAUAGAACCGACCCUUCUGCAGUCGGGUGUUGUACAGUUCAGUUCUGGCUGGGUGUUAAAUCCUACUCACCCAUUUUUUUCCUUCUCCAUCACUGCCUACAACGGUGGAGAACCCAUAGGGUUAUACAGAGAUGUUUGGAAUACGUAGGGUUAAAAGCAGCCCCAUCUGCAUCAAAAAUAAUUGCUUCAUCUAGCCAAGGAGGAUUUUGCAAUUUUCCCACCACUACCACCCAUUCUUUCUGCCCAGAAAGGUACAGGACAUGACGGGAAGUUACAGACAGAGCUGGGCAAAGCGUGCAGCUGCUUUAUUAUGAAUACGUGCUGGUAUUUCUGCAGCAAACCCAGUCCCGUGGCCAUGCAGUUCAGCUCUGUUUUUGCAAAUACUCCUGGGAGCUAAUUUAUAAAGCAGGUGUGCUCACCGAAACAUGACUGGUGCUGGUCCCGUUAGCAAGAUGGGAAUGAGAAACUGUUGAGAAAAAGCACAGACAUCAAGUCCCAGCAAAGCUAUCCUUUGCAACAGAGCCAAGGCUUUACCUCUGGACUUGCUUCUAGCUCUCCCCUGAUGCUCUCCAGUUAUCCUAUUUUUGGUGAGGGCUGCAGGCUGCCCCGCUAACAUGAUGGCAAGGAGAAAUGGCAAUGAACGCAGCAAAUCCUUCCAGCAGAGGAACAAACCCAAAUCCUAACGCUGCUGCAAUCUGGGAGGCUGCUCGUGCAAAACGUUGCAGGGCAGAGGUGUUUGCAGAGUCAUUCUGAAUAAUUUCGGUAAUUAAGAAAUUAGAGUAAUUAUGGUCUUUCCUGAGAGAACUCCAGAAUAAACGCAUACAUCAGUGUGAGCUUGGAGAGAGCAGGUUAUUCCUUACUGUGAUCGUCUCAACAGCAGCAGUUGGACUCGAUGAUCCUUAUGGGUCCCUUCCAGCUCUGGGUGUUCUAUGAUUCUAGCAGCUUCUUCUGGGCUGCAUCUCUGCUGUUUGCUGGGAAAAGCUGUGGUGGGGAGAUGCCACCAGACAGGAACAAGGGCAUAAGAGGACAGCUCUGGGCAGCUAAUGCAUUUAUUCAGGAUGAAUAAGCCCCUUGUGGUAAGCAGAGCUCCCUAAUCUCCCUCUCUCGUGGUGUAACGACUCCAGUAGCAUCAGCUCUUUGCUGUACCCGGCGAUUUUUCCUACCAAUUACCCACCGGUUCCAGACAAUCUCCCCCUGAAAUAACAGACAGGUCAUUAACAUCGAAUUUCAGUUGGAUGAUAGGGGAAUUUGUUGCUGAGAUGAUCGCCGAAGCCACGGUGAUGAAUGGGCUCAGAGGGAAUUUAGGGCAUUAUUUCCCAGUGCUCACUGCCGGUUAUCUCCUUUGCUCUGUGCUUUGUCUGCAGCCCACAGGCCGACUCCUCAAUUGCUUGUCAGUUCUAUUUCAGGGGUUAUUUCUGUACAGGGAUGUGCGUGUGUCUCCAGGCUCUGCUUUCCCUUACCACUCUUCUUGUUCAAGAGACAAGGCAACAACAAUUAGCCCCAUGGAGGGGAUGAUGCUUUGGAUUGGGCUUGUUGUACUUGGCACCCCGUCAGCAGACAGCUCUGUGAUGAGGAAGGUGCUCGUUUACGAGACUUUAAUCAUUCCUGGAGAGCAGCUCGCUGCUAUAAAAGGAGCUCCUUUGCUUUUGAAGACAGUGAGCUCAGUGGCGUUAUCACAAGCUGUUUAAUAGCAGAGAUGGAUCAAAGAGAAAGAUUCCCAGCUGCAGCCCAGUAAAUUCUGUGCACAGCUGCUGCUGAAGCAGGUUAUCACCUGAAGAGCUGGGGCAACCUGUGGCACAGGGCUGACUUUUAACAGUCCCAACCACCAGGAGCAGGAAGAUGUGCAGCCGCUCUCUUUCGUCCAGUGCCAGCUGGUCCAGUGGCAAGCAACACAGAGCCAAGGAAAUCAC
ensembl:lncRNA